AACGAACGCUGGCGGCAUGCCUAACACAUGCAAGUCGAACGAGACCUUCGGGUCUCGUGGCGCACGGGUGCGUAACGCGUGGGAACCUGCCCUUAGGUUCGGAAUAACUCCCCGAAAGGGGUGCUAAUACCGGAUAAUGUCUUCGGACCAAAGAUUUAUCGCCUUUGGAUGGGCCCGCGUUGGAUUAGCUAGUUGGUAGGGUAAAAGCCUACCAAGGCGACGAUCCAUAGCUGGUCUGAGAGGAUGAUCAGCCACACUGGGACUGAGACACGGCCCAGACGCCUACGGGAGGCAGCAGUGGGGAAUAUUGGACAAUGGGCGAAAGCCUGAUCCAGCAAUGCCGCGUGAGUGAUGAAGGCCUUAGGGUUGUAAAGCUCUUUUACCCGGGAUGAUAAUGACAGUACCGGGAGAAUAAGCUCCGGCUAACUCCGUG
rnacentral:rRNA from 1 species